ensembl:snRNA U6 U6 spliceosomal RNA
UUGCUUCAGCAGCACAUAUACUAAAAUUGGAACAAUAUAAAGAAAAUUGGCAUGGCCCCUGCAUGAGGAUGACAUGCAAAUUUGUGAAGAGAAGGCACUGGUG